GAACAGAUCACACGGAGUCCAAAACAAGAUUUAUAAUGGUGGGCUUUCUAACUCUCCUCUCUGUGCUGGGGGUCGCCUUGGGUGCAGCCGUACCCUCCGAUCCAUACGCGGCACUGACCGUCCUGAAGCAGUCCUGUCGGGAUACCAAUACCUGUCCACUGGUGUACUCGGAGGAAAGUCUGCGCGCGCGUCUUACGCCUGAACAGUACCACGUGACUCGUGAAAAAGGAACAGAAAGGUCACGUGCUCUAUGUUUCUCUAAUUAUUCAUUGCAAAUUAUUUAUUUAUUCAAUAUUCAAUAGAGCAAGUUACACUAUACGUGCAAGAUGUAUUUCUUAAACAUAUAAAAGUUGCAGAAUUAUUUGAUUUAUAUAUUCCAGGCGGUUUUCUCCUGGUUACGACAACCACAAACAUGGUGUGUACCACUGUGUCGUCUGCAACAACACCCUCUUCUCGUCUGCUCAUAAAUACAACUCCGGGACCGGAUGGCCGUCAUUUUACGACAGGAUAGGAACACAGAUGGGCAUUGUUGACGAUUACGCUUACGGCAUGCAUAGACUGGAAGUGACAUGUGAGCGAUGCGGAUCACACAUUGGUCACGUGUUUAACGAUGGACCUGCACCCACGGGUCUCCGAUACUGCAUGAACUCUGCCGCCAUGUUGUUUGUUCCAGAUCACAGCAACGAAAACCAUGUGCAGCCUUUGGGCAAAAAAUAAAGCUGAAUUUUGUUUUAAAGUC
rnacentral:misc_RNA from 1 species